AGUGAACGCUGGCGGUAGGCCUAACACAUGCAAGUCGAACGGCAGCACAGUAAGAGCUUGCUCUUACGGGUGGCGAGUGGCGGACGGGUGAGGAAUACAUCGGAAUCUACUUUUUCGUGGGGGAUAACGUAGGGAAACUUACGCUAAUACCGCAUACGACCUACGGGUGAAAGCAGGGGAUCUUCUGACCUUGCGCGAUUGAAUGAGCCGAUGUCGGAUUAGCUAGUUGGCGGGGUAAAGGCCCACCAAGGCGACGAUCCGUAGCUGGUCUGGGAGGAUGAUCAGCCACACUGGAACUGAGACACGGUCCAGACUCCUACGGGAGGCAGCAGUGGGGAAUAUUGGACAAUGGGCGCAAGCCUGAUCCAGCCAUACCGCGUGGGUGAAGAAGGCCUUCGGGUUGUAAAGCCCUUUUGUUGGGAAAGAAAAGCAGCAGGUUAAUACCCCGCUGUUCUGACGGUACCCAAAGAAUAAGCACCGGCUAACUUCGUG
rnacentral:rRNA from 1 species